GGCGUGUUAGACAAAUCGGUAAAGUCCUCAGGUUUUCACCCUGAUGUAGUAUUAAUUGCUACUUGCGAGUUCGAACCUCGUACACGUCUC
rnacentral:tRNA from 1 species